CGUGACUCGUCUGGGGGCUUAGCGUAACAGAUGCGACUUGUCAAACUAGAUGGAUGAGUAUAUCCUGCUCAUAUACAUGUCAAGGGAGCACGCCUGAAAACAACAACAAUACACUAAUAAUAUGAAAGCAUAGACAUGCUGAGCUGACUCUGUAUCCGCUGGUAACUUGUGGAUCCAACAUGCAGCUUUGAUCUAACGUUAACGUUACCAGAACACAUACUGUAGAUUGGGUCCCCCAUCUCCUACAUUGGAAUCACAAAAGGAUCUCUUUGCACUCAGUGUGGCCAGGAGGAACAAUUACAGUGACCGAUAACUCUUUCAAUGUACAUAUGAGCAUGUGAGUAUUAUUUUAAGUCAGACUGUAAACUUAUCCUUAAAGGACCUGUCUUGUAUUCUAUGUCAAAAUCCCAAAUUUUUAUUAUCUGUAUUUAUGUUUAGCCUACAUCAUUGUAUUGCAAUCUUUAAACCAAAGGAUCUAAGUACCUUUCUACUAUUUAUUUUACCUCACACUUAGAACCACCUCCCUUGAUUCCAGAUAUUUUAACAUCUUUAUUUCAUUGCAAACAAAAAGACAAAUACUACACUCAAAGAGUGCCAGCAUAACAUGAAACACAUGUUCAAAUCAUGACAUGACAUGACUUGACACUUCUGCCAUGGCUUUAAUUAGUUUGAUGUAACAACAUGUAUACUUU